GGAGUUGGCCAGACAGUCGCCGCCGGUUGAUCCGGGGGAGGAAAGUCCGGGCUCCAUAGGGCGAGGUGCCAGGUAACGCCUGGGCGGCGCAAGCCGACGGCCAGUGCAGCAGAGAGUAGACCGCCUAAGCCGCUUCGGCGGCCGGUAAGGGUGAAAGGGUGCGGUAAGAGCGCACCGCGCGCCUGGUAACAGUGCGUGGCACGGUAAACCCCACCUGGAGCAAGACCAAAUAGGGAUCCUUCGGCGCGGCCCGCGCUGGAUCCGGGUAGGUUGCUCGAGAGGCAUGGCGACGUGCCUCCUAGAUGAAUGACUGUCCUCGACAGAACCCGGCUUAUCGGCCGACUCCCACC
rfam:Gammaproteobacteria bacterium MFB021 Contig-075, whole genome shotgun sequence.